AUUCCAGCUCCAAUAGUGUAUAUUAACGUUGCUGCAGUUAAAAAGCUCGUAGUUGAAUUUCUGGAGGGCGGCCUUACCCACGGGUAUGAGCGGCUACUUCAUCCGCGCCGGAAGGCACUACAGUAUUACUUAGUGUUGGAUGCGUGUUUUACUUUGAAGAAAUUAGAGUGUUCCAGGCAGGCUUUGCUUGAAUACAUCAGCAUGGAAUAAUGGAAUAGGACAGGUCAAUUUAAAUUGGUUAUUUGACUUGUAAUGAUUAACAGGGACAGUUGGGGGCGUUUGUAUUCAAUAGUCAGAGGUGAAAUUCUUGGAUUUGUUGAAGACAAACUAAUGCGAAAGCAUUCGCCAAGGAUGUUUUCAUCA
rnacentral:rRNA from 1 species